rnacentral:rRNA from 1 species
AUUGAACGCUGGCGGCAGGCCUAACACAUGCACGUCGAACGAGUGGCGGACGGGUGAGUAAUGUCUGGGACACUGCCUGAUGGAGGGGGAUAACUACUGGAAACGGUAGCUAAUACCGCCUCCCAUCAGAUGUGCCACGAUGGUGUGAGCCUGUUGGUGGGGUAACGGCUCACCAAGGCGACGAUCCCUAGCUGGUCUGAGAGGGGGACCAGCUACACUGGAACGGAGACACGGUGCAGCCUCCUACGGGAGUCAGCAGUGGGGAAUAUUGGAUAAAGGGCGCAAGCGUGAUGCGGCGAUGCCGCGUGUAGUAAGAAGGCCUUGGGGUUGUAAAGUACUUACAGCGGGGAGGCGUUACCCGCAGAAGAAGCAACGGCUAACUCCGUGCCAGCAGCCGCGGUAAUUC